rnacentral:lncRNA from 1 species
UAAAGAGUUUAUUCAAUUUCAAUUCAUUUGUUAAAAAAUAUAAAAAGGGAAAAUUUCUUCAAUUAUUCAAGCUCCUGACGUAAAAAGAUAAGUUAAAAAGAGGACAACUAAAAACUGAAAACUUCAAAAUAGUUAAACUCCUCGGGUCAGGUGGAUAUGGAAAGGUCUAUCUUUGUACUGAAAAAAAUACAGGCGAAAAAUUUGCAAUGAAAUGCAUUGAGUCUGAAAACACUGAUCGUAACGUAAUAGCACAACAAGUGGAACAACUAAAGCAAGAAAUUUCUGUUUUUAAAACAUUAAACCAUAUACGAAUUGUGAAAUACUAUGGGUUUACUUAUGAUAGCACAUCAAUCUCUAUUUUAAUGGAAUACAUGGAAGGGGGAUCACUUCAUGAUAAAAUCAAUGUCAAAGGUUUAAACGAGAAAACAGCCUCUAAGAUGUCUUUUCAAAUACUUGAUGGUUUGAGAUAUUUACAUGAAAAAGAUAUAGUACACAGAGAUAUU